rnacentral:rRNA from 1 species
GACGAACGCUGGCGGCGUGCUUAACACAUGCAAGUCGAACGGUGACCCAUCUUCGGAUGGUGAUCAGUGGCGAACGGGUGAGUAACACGUGGGCAACCUGCCCCUAGCUCUGGGAUAACUCCUCGAAAGAGGUGCUAAUACCGGAUAUCACUUCCCUGGACAUCCAGGGUGGUUGAAAGUUUUUCGGCUAGGGAUGGGCCCGCGGCCUAUCAGCUUGUUGGUGGGGUAAUGGCCUACCAAGGCGACGACGGGUAGCCGGCCUGAGAGGGCGACCGGCCGCACUGGGACUGAGACACGGCCCAGCCUCCUACGGGAGGCAGCAGUGGGGAAUAUUGCGCAAUGGGCGAAAGCCUGACGCAGCAACGCCGCGUGAGGGAUGACGGCCUUCGGGUUGUAAACCUCUUUCAGCAGGGACGAAGCGAGAGUGACUGUACCUGCAGAAGAAGCGCCGGCUAACUACGUGCCAGCAGCCGCCGUAAAAC